rnacentral:rRNA from 1 species
UACAGAGGUCUCAAGCGUUGUUCGGAUUCAUUGGGCGUAAAGCGUGCGCAGGCGGUUCGUUGUGUCUGAUGUGAAAGCCCCGGGCUCAACUUGGGAACGGCAUUGGAAACUGGCGAACUGGAGUGUGGCAGAGGGGGGUGGAAUUCCGCGUGUAGCAGUGAAAUGCGUAGAGAUGCGGAGGAACACCGAUGGCGAAGGCAGCCCCCUGGGCUGACACUGACGCUCAGGCACGAAAGCGUGGGGAGCAAACAGG